CUGAAUUAGCAGAACCUCAGAACUUAAGCCUGUUAUUUUCCGGUCAAAGGUUUGCAUUGAGUGUCUGGCUAGAAACUCAUAAGGAAUUGUUCAACUGAUCUUGAGAGGCCUACUCUAGGUCCUCAAGAAAGUCCUCAGUUGGGCCAUCUAACCAAAGGGAAUACUGCAGAAAGACCUGUUUCCAGAAAGUUCGAAAUUCACACACACAUUACAUUAGAACUCUGAUCCUGCCUAUUAAUAUUUUAGGAAAAAGCGCUUCCCAAGGGUUUGAUUUUUAAGUUUCUCAGAAAAUUAAGCAGGGAGGAGGGGUAAAGACAUAAAACCGUGUGUUUUGUGCCGUUCCCCAAUUCUUCCAAACGGAGGAAAGCCUGGAAGCGGCUCAUACUCACCACCCACACCUCUGCAUCUGGGUCAUUUACCUGGAACGCCAGAAUACCAAGGUGUUAGCAGACAUCCUGUGCUGUUCCAUUCCUUUUAAAUUCAUUUAAGCACAUUUUUUAUUAAUUUGUUAAGUGCCAGACACUGCAAUAGGCAUCGAGGGUACAAAAUCUGAACAGGAUAUAGUCCAGAUGAGGACGGGUGAAGGGGUUUCUGGCUGACACAACAGAUGUUUUUAACAGGCAGCCACACAUUUUUGAAAAGCCUUCACGGGAGCUCUGGAGAGGACUCGCCAACCCAGAACGGGUAUUUUAAGGGCCCUCCACCCCCACCAGUCUCAAGAAAUGAGGGAAAUGAUUAUGAAGGGGGUCCCCAAGCCGACUAAAAAGUUUAAUGAUGCUAUAAAGGGUUUUGGUCGGCUUCGUCUCCUAGGCCCUGAGAUAUGUUCAGUGUCGUCCGCGGGCCGGACGUUAACGCAGGAGCCAGGGCCGCUUCUUCUGAGGUCCCCUGGGAAGUUCCACGCGCGGAACCAGCCCCUUCCAGGGUGUGAGCCCUGGUAUGGGACUCGCUUCCAUGAACACAUCCGCGUCUCUUAGACGGGGGAGAAAGUGGGGGCUCCCCAAGCAGAAAGCCCAAGUCCCGUCCUCCCCACUAACUGUGCGCCCCUGCGACUCUGCCCGCUAGUCAGUUACACGGCCCGCUAGGCCAGGGGGCGGAGCUGGGAGCCGGGCGGGUCCCCCUCCCACCGCGGCCGCCUGACCUGCACCAAGGCCGCCAGCGCGAAGAAGGCGGCCAUGAGUCCGUUGCAGGCCCGCCACAGCGCUGGCGCCAUGGCUCGGAGAACACGGCGCGGGGCGGUGAGUCCUGCCACGUGCGGGGCGGUGUGGUCAGCUACUCCGGAAUGUGGCAGGGGUGGAGGCCGGACAAAGUCUGAAACAGGGUCAUCACCAUAGCACCUGACAUACCUGGAUAUAAACAAUAUCCAAGGCCCCUAAGGUAAAAGCCUUGCUCCAAGUCCCCUUCUGACUUCUAGUCACUUCCGUGCUGCCAGCAGAGGGCGUGGGAUUCUUCCUGAGGAGCCUGAGUCUCAGCUUUGCCAGGUCCUUGCUGUGUGACCUUGGGCACCUGUGCUCCCUUGACAAAGAGGAAUAAAACCUCUUCAGACUACUCUCCUAUCGAUUCUCUCCUGGAACAUAUGACCACCAUCAAUUAUAGGCAAGAACAUGAACACGGGAGUCCCAAAGACUUGGGUUCAAAUGUCAGCCCCUUCACUCGCUGGCUGUAGGUGUGAGGCCCUGGCUCCUGUGGGGCUAUUGCAGAGGAGAAACUUCUGGAACAGAGAGCUCCUUGUCCAGGGAUGCUGCAUCUGGGUGAGCUGCUCCUUGGAUAUGGUGCAAGUGUGGCCAGGGUGUGGUGUGGAAGGAGCAGAAGUCUUCAGGACUGAAUCUGGAUGGACCACUGUGACAGCUGUAUACCCAGGUGGUACCAGUUUCCCUCUCUGCAGAAGUCCCCCCAACAGCACCAUUCUCAGUGCCAUACCUGGCCUCAUCAGGGCUCUGAUGCAAGACACUGUAUAUGCAGAAUAUAUUAUUUCAUCCUCACAACAGUUCUGUAUCUUCCACAUUUUAUAGGCUAAGGAAAUAGGCUCAGGGUAGUCAAGUAGCUUUCCCAAAGGCACACAGCAG
rnacentral:lncRNA from 1 species